rnacentral:misc_RNA from 1 species
UGAGGACAUGACCCAGAAGAGACUCUACCACUUUUGAUGAUAGAACCACUUGCACAAUCACGAGGCUGUAAAUCCUUAUAGAAGCAUAUUCUUAGUUCCUCCACCGCAUCGCCUGAGCAUAUCAACUCUGGAGUUGCAUGAAAGGCAUUUUGAAUGGCUGAAAUGAUGCCUCCCAGUGGAUAUUUCUCAGAAUUUGAGGGUACAUACCCGGCUUCAAACAGAAUUCCAGUGACGUUAUAUUUGAAGUAAACA